AAGAAAUAUUUUGGAGAAGUUAGAUAGGGUAGAGGCAGAAGUAGACGCAAUUAAACAUGAAGGAUUGUGAAGGCAAAAGAUGAACCAGCCAGCCUAGUCUCUGGAUGCAUAAGCUCCAAGUGUGGAGGAGACCCGGAGAGAAAAGCAGACUGUUCUCUGUGUUUACCUGUAAGCACAGGCCGCAACCUGCCAUGCUGUUUUUAAAUGCCCAAGAGCUGGUGACAAGAGGGUUUCCCUUUGCCAUCUGGACCUGAUUGCCUUAGAGGCUUGGGGAGGAGGGGAGAGAGAGGAAGCUUCAAGAGUGUCUUUGUGGUUGCUGGUUGACCAGUAUAAACGGUAUUUACACAUUUAGAGUGGCAGACUCACCAGUACGUGAGAGAAUUGUCGAUGAUGCAGGCAACUUACAUGAAAUGUACCCCUCCAGCAUUCAACGCAGCAGAAUCACCUAGUAGAAGUUAUUCUCUUUCUAAUUUGUUUUCAGUUGUUUUAAUUUCAUCGAGUCUCAAGUUGGUGCUAGCCUAGGUCAUUAACACCUCCCGGACACUUGCUAACCUUGCCUUUUUUUUUUUUCCCGGACGGAGUCUUGCUCUGUCACCCAGGCUGGAGUGCAGUGGCAUCAUCUCGGCUCACUGCAACCUCCGCCUCCUGGAUUCAAGCGAUUCUCCUGCCUCAGCCUCCCAAGUAGCUGGGAUUACAGGCACCCCCAACUUUGGCCAAUUAAUUUUGGUAUUUUUAGUAGAGACAGGGUUUCACCAUGUUGGCCAGGCUGGUCUUGAACUCCUGACCUCAGGUGAUCCACCCAUCUCAGCCUCCCAAAGUACUGGGAUUACAGGUAUGAGCCACCAUGCCUGGCCUAAUCUUGCCUUUUAGCAACCAUGACAGCACCAGUCUUCAGGCUUACAGCGAGCGAGAGCAACCAGCUAUCUUUUAAUCAUAGUAUUGCUUUUGGUUGUAUUUAUUUUCUACAGACCAUGAGAGGGGCUUUUUGUUAUGGCUGGUUCUUUUUAGAGGAAAGACAAAUAAUGAAUCAGUAAUAAUUGAGUUGGAACAAGGAUACAGUGCCUCAUGGCAGAGGCCUGAAAAAGAGCCCAGAUUUCCAGCUCCUAUUCAGCGAAGUGGGUUCCCCAGGUGGCAGGCUGCAGAUCAAGCUUGGGGAAGGUUCUGGUCUGAGGUCAGUGGGUCCAGCUGGUCAGCAGAUGGCAACGAGGGAACUUUGGAUGAGAGUUGUUGUCGGAGCCCGCCGGCCUGGUUUUGCAGCCUGCUUGAAGCCCGUCUCUUCCCUGGGAUGACAGAAGCCAGUUCAUCAGUGUUCACCGUGGGACACGAGGCUGAGGAGAGUGGGUGGCUGCUGAAGUCACCUUUGCUUCUGGCGGCCAAACCUGAUUUUGCUCUGGGCGAUCAUUGUUCACUACUCUCAGAUCUGGGUUUGAGCAGACUGGACCCACCUCGGGCCAUCCGCGCUUGUCUUCGUUGCUUUGGGUACGGUGAUGGGUUCUAGAUGGGUAGUGAGAUGCAAAGAGGCUUUUUCUGGGAAUGCUGGGGCUGGAUCUUUCCCACUGGCUUUGAACCCAAGAAGGGGAGAUGCCAGAACCCCUGUAUCCCCUAUGAGGAGGGCGCUCACAGCAGAUAAUGGAGCCGAGAAACCCAAUCCUGAUGGUAUCGGUUCCAUCCUGGAUCCAGCUGUGCCCGAAGCUAGGCUCUACCCUUGGCCGCCUUUGGAGCUACCCACCAAGCCAAUAAAUUCCCCUUUCAUGUAA
ensembl:lncRNA LINC02185 long intergenic non-protein coding RNA 2185